rnacentral:lncRNA from 1 species
AGGGGAGCUGCGGGGCGGCACGAAAGGCAGGGGGGUAGCUGGCGGGAGGGCCGGGGUGGCGUGCCUGUGGUGCAGCCACCUAGGCCCCUGGUUUGGUCCCUUGUCCUCAGCUCAUGUGAGGGCCGAGGCAACCUUCCAUCUCUGGGAGGCCGCGUGCUGGAAAGGCGGGGCCUGGAGGCCUCUCGGUCGCCCCUCCGCCCCCUCAUCCUGUGUCAUCGAGGGCCACCGGCCGCCCGGGUAGUCCUUCCCCGAAGGUGGAAAAACUCAAGGAAUCUUCCAGGAGGAGAUGCCUCUGCACAAUGCUCCCGAGGGUGCAUCCUGGCCCCAGACGCAGUCCCUGGGCCUGCAUAGAAGGAGGCAGAUGGUGGGGGGGGCACAUUCUGCCGGGGAGCUCCCUGCGUGCCUCCCCCCUCCCCCGCGCCGGAGUGCAGAGCCGUGUGCACCUGCCGCCAGCAGAGGGUGCCACACUCCUCACAACCCAGGGCGGAAUCGGGCCGGGUGGGCGAGCAUCAGCCCACUGGGACCUUAGUCCUGGCCCCGGGCCCCCAGGCCCUUCCUGGGUUAGCGGCCAGCGGCCAGCUGGGGUCUGGGGAGGGGUGGGCAGCACCAGCUCGGGGGUCUCAGGCCCCUGGGAGGGGAGGAUCCCUCGUUCCUGCUGUAGGAGGGAGGUGCGGACAGUGCAACAGACCUGCUGCUCCGACCUUGACCCUUCAAGUAGAUAG